rnacentral:rRNA from 1 species
AAUGAACGCUGGUGGCAGACCUAACACAUGCAAGUCGAACGAUUUAUAAAAACUUCGGUUUUUUGUAAAGAGUGGCAAACGGGUGAGUAAUAGCAUGGGAAUCUACCUAGAAGUUUGGGAUAACUAUUAGAAAUAGUAGCUAAUACCGGAUACACCCUGAGGGGGAAAGUUGACUUUUAGUCUUCGCUUUUAGAUGUAGCCCAUGUUAAACUUAGUUAGUUGGUGGGUAUAAUAGCCUACCAAGACGAUGAUUUAUAGCUGGUCUUAGAGGAUGAUCAGCCACACUGGAAUUGAGAUACGGUUCAGACUCCUACGGGGAGGCAGCAGUGGGGGGAAUAUUGGACAAUGGGGCGCAAGCCUGAUCCAGUCAUGCCACGUGAGUGAUGAGGGUCUUAGGGA